AGAGUGUUUAUAGUGCUGUGAGUUUAACACUUCAUGACUGACAGCAGAACAGAACACAAUCUUCAUCAUCACACAACACAAAACAACAACAAUGACCUUCAGCAUCAUCUUCAUCUGGACUUUUGCAGUUUUUAUUCAAGGAUCCAGAGGAGUCACUGUGACUCAACCUAAAGUAAAAACUGCUCAACAGGGACAAACAGCUACAAUAGAGUGUCAUACAGAUGUAGGAAUAGACUAUGACAAUGUUGGCUGGUAUCAGCAAAAAACAGGAGAAGCUCCUAAACUCCUCAUUUAUGACAUAAGAAGCCUUUAUUCAGGAACUCCAUCUAGAUUCAGUGGCAGUGGAUCAGACUAUGGAAGUGAUUUCACUCUGACCAUCAGUGGAGUCCAGACUGAAGAUACAGGAGAUUAUUACUGUAUGAGUAGACACUCCAUCAACAGUAAAUAUGUGUUCACACAGUGAUAAAGAGUCGUACAAAAACCUCCGUCAGUCAGACUGCACAGUGACUGCACUGAUACAACUGACAGAUACUGCAGCUGCUCAUACAACACAAUCACACACAACACUGAUCAGUGGACAAAAAACUAAAACAUUUUGAUCUUAUGAAGAACAUAAAUUUUGAGGUCUUUUAGUAUAUUAAUAUAAUUAGUAAUUGUUUUAAUGUGAUUUCAGGUGUUUUUUUUUUUUUCCGUCAGACUGAACAACAGAGACUAGCUUCUGUAUUUAGUCUCUUCUGCUCUCUUGACAUGAACUGUUUCUUUAUGGUCAAAGUUUUUCAUCCUUGACCUUACUGGUCAAACAGUCAUUGUCAGAAUAGCAUAAUCUAAGUUUUUGAUCUUGUGCUUUUAAUGAUUUCCCCUCUUUCAGAGAGAGAGAGAGAGAGAGAUUGUCUAAUCAUUAAAAUGCGGUGUGAUGUGUACAUUUCCCCCAUCGUGCAUUCUUGUUAUUAAAUGCGGUUUAAAUGGCGAUACACAUGUAAACAAUGCUGUGGUAAAUGUGCUGCUACUGGUGGAUCUUUAAAAUCCAUUCACACUUGAAGAACACGCCACAACAUAAUAAAGAUCGCUCUGAUUACAUUAUAAUUAGCCAUUUCUACACUGCAUGUGCACGACAACACUGUUGAGAUGAAUGGGAGAGAUAUUUGUCACUUCAUUUCCAGAGUGGGCCUGUGAAGGCAUCGGUGGCCAGGGCAUCCUGACGUCUUAAUCCGUCCCUGCAGGGGAGGGUUGGUGCUUCACUUCUGCCAGGAUGCAUGCAGGACAGAUUAGCAUUUACACCUCAAAAGUGAUGUGGUCACAU